ACAGUAAUUUUAUUCUAAAAAUAGAAAACAACAGAUGGCAAGAUAAUGCAGAAAAAAAGAAUUUAACGGAAGCAAAACAUAACUUUUUGCUUAUACAUUCCCCUCUAAAUGUGUUGUUCUGACCUCUGAUUAUUCCUGUUAUUUCAUAACUGAAGGUACCAUGUUUAUCAUUUUUAACUUAUGACUUGAAACUUAUGUGAUGUAAAAGUUUAAUUGAAUUCAACAAUGUUGAAAAUGCAAGAACUGUUUAACUUUACAUGUAACUGUCACAGAUAUCCCAAGGUUUGAAUUGGUACAAAACUUGAAAUUUUAUUAUUAGUGUUUAGCUGUUUUAUUUCGGAUAUGACAAUGU
rnacentral:lncRNA from 1 species